UUCCAUCAAAAGCACUGCAGUUGUUUCUGCUUCAGGGUCAUCUGAAAGGCCUUGCUGUCAGUAGCAAGCAUACUUACAUGUUUUCUGCUGGUGAUGACAAACUAGUUAAAUGUGAGGACCUUGAGCAGAACAAGUUUAGAACCUCCAUGAAAUAAAAAACUUCAAAAACUCCAGUGACACGAUUUUCUACUGUAAUGGGAUCCUUAUGGCUACUCAGUCUUAUAUACCUAUCUAAUCCAAACAAUAUUUCCAUGAUUUUCUUUAUU